rnacentral:rRNA from 1 species
CCUACGGGGGGCAGCAGUGAGGAAUAUUGGUCAAUGGUCGAGAGACUGAACCAGCCAAGUCGCGUGAAGGAAGACGGCUCUAUGAGUUGUAAACUUCUUUUGUACAGGAGUAAAGUGAGACACGUGUGUUUUAUUGCAAGUACUGUACGAAUAAGCAUCGGCUAACUCCGUGCCAGCAGCCGCGGUAAUACGGAGGAUGCAAGCGUUAUCCGGAUUUAUUGGGUUUAAAGGGUGCGUAGGCGGUAUUACAAGUCAGGGGUGAAAUCUUGGUGCUUAACAUUAAAAUUGCCUUUGAAACUGUGGUACUUGAGUGUAAAAGAGGUAGGCGGAAUGUGUUGUGUAGCGGUGAAAUGCAUAGAUAUAACACAGAACCCCGAUUGCGAAGGCAGCUUACUAUCAUACAACUGACGCUGAUGCACGAAAGCGUGGGGAUCAAACAGGAUUAGAUACCCGGGUAGUC